AUCGGCAGGCGGACUCUCAACCACUGCGCCACCAGGCAAGCCCCCAAAUUAGGUUUUAAAGUAAAUAAUUAUUUAGAAUGAGAAAGAAUCAAAAUAAACGAAAAAGCUGACCAAGAUCCAACGUCCAGGAAAACAAUCCAGACUGGCUUCUGGGGCCAUACGACUCAAACCACAGUUCCCUUCCAUCAUCACAUUCCUCGGUACCCGGUGUUUGGUGACAACUCCAUAUCUGGUCCCCCCUCUGACCCUGCACCUUCGUGUCCUGACACCUGUGAGCUGAAGUGGUGGGAGUUCUCCUGGGAUCCCCAGUGGAGGGCUGGCGGUACCUUACCUCUAAAGUAACUGGAAACCACUUAGUUACAUGCACUAACACUUGGAGGAAAUGUAUCUCCAACUUGGCCUCCUCUCAGCUGGAUUGCCCGAGUUUCCACGUUUCCUUCAGUGCCACCCAACCUGAGGAAAAGUGUGAUGGGGGAAUUUGUAGUGGAAAACAAUAGUCUUAGCUGUUGCUUUUGCAAAUUUUAUAAACACAUGACAGGUCAAUGUGAACUGGGUGGGGGGGUGGGCUGAAGCUUAAGCUUCAUUGCCUCACCGUAAACCCAGCUGGAUCCAUCCUGAACACGUUCCUCUGCCAGAGGGAACCUGUUAUCCUUAGGUCACUGUCCGAGUCAGUGACCUACAGUGGCUCCCACUGACCUUUCUAAAAUGAAACUCAUUCCCCUUGAUUUUUAUUCUGGUUGUAAAAGUAGUAUUUGGUCAUUACUGAGAAAAUAUAAACAAGGGUAAAGGAGACAAUGAACGUCAUCCUGGAGCAAACCCUGCAGGCAAGCAGUAACAAUUUAGUUUCAGUCUUCCAUCCUCUGCUAGGGGUUUGACAGGACAUUGAGACAGGUUGGAAUGUCCAGACGCCCGCACGUGGGCUCGCAUUGUGCUCCCCCUUUCAGCCUGGCUGGUUAUGUAGCACGGGGAGUGACAGGGUCCGGAUCCUGGUCAGAGGCUAUGAGCAGAUGGGACCAUGGAUGUGGGGACAGGCCGGAGAAAGACCCCCUGACUGAAGAAGCAGCACAUUGGUGUUAAAGAAUGUGCUGAUUCACAUGAAGAAACCUGAGAGAAUGUCCUUUUUGCUCUGUCAGUUCUUCACAGGGAGGGAGGGACAAAUAUGCCCAUGGCCUGAUUCAUGAGGAAAUGUGAUUAUUUAAAAAAAAGUUUUAAGUGAGAGAACUGAAGCUGUCCUUUAAGUGGCAUUUUCAAACCUAAAUUAGAAACUACAUUAGCAUUGCCAUUUGAUGCUGAGGCACAAGAAGUUUGGCCUGUUCCUCCCCUGGGGCUCAGGCUCCCAGGUCAGAAGUUAGGGGGCCUCCAUCUGAGAAGGUUUCUUCUGGAGAGUCAUGCGUGGUCCCUGCACCUCAGUACUGCUGGGGAAGGGGCUUUUCCCACCACUCCCUAAGGAGGCUGCCUGCAGGCUGUCUCUGCUGGAUGGGAGAAGUGGGCUGGAUGACUGGGAAUCAUCUGGCCCUUCUUUGAGAAAGCCUUUAAAAUGACACUCCCCCAGAUACAGUGUUGAGUGGAUUUUCUCAACAUCUCAACUGCAACCAAAGAGGGAAAACAGGAAGAUGCAUGGGGGUGUUAAGGGCAUUCGAGAAAUGACAGUCCCCCAUCCAGCCCGGUGGGGUCCUGAGUUCACUGGCCCGGGCAAGUAAGGGAGUGUCCUGCACUGCCCCACAAGGGUUGCUGAGCCGUGGGGUAGUGUUCUCCAGGGACUGGGUCUGUGUCCCCUUAUGGUACCUGUUCUCCCCAAACCCCUUCACAAUCACCUGGGAGCUUUUAAAAUGCACGUUCUGUCUCAACCCUGAAGAUUUGCAUCUAGCAUUUGGAGCUGGGAGUGCACAUGCGUGUUUGUGUGUGUGUGUGUGAGAUAUGUCCUCAAGCACUGACCAAGGCGUCCUCCUGUGUGCCCUGACACCUGUGAUCCUUGCUUGCAGGCAGACGGCAGUCAGACUGCCCAACAUUAACUGCCUCAGGGAAGGGAUGACAGAUUUAACAAAGGAGUCAAAUUACUGGUUUUUGAGUACCAAAAGUCUAGGCCUUGGUAUAAAGUUUGGAACAAGACAUGAUGAGUGAGGGCAGGGCCGUGGCUGGCACAUAUGGCACCUGUGGGUGAAUUGUGAGAAGGUGCCUUUCUGCUUGCCAGGGCAAGGGCAGAUUUUAGCCUCUGGUUGUGCCCUACCCCAUAGCAGGCCACAUUUGUGCAGUGCACACACUGCUUAACCUUAUGUGGUAGCCCUUAGAAGAGAUCUCCCUGAUUUGGGGGCAGGGCCGGGAGGGAGGUGAGGAGAAGAGAGCUGGUGGGAAGACGAGGCGACCUUAGAUGCUGGUGGGUCCCUGAGAAGGGAGCACAGGGGCUCUCUGCCUUGGAACAGAGAACAGAAACGCAGAGGGUUUUGGGGAACAGGGUGCGGAGGGAGAUAAUAGAUAGCUUUCUUGGGUAGAGUCCUAGGGAGGCAGAAGCCCCAGAGUGUGGAUGGCUCCCCCAGCCCCACCGGGUGCGAGGCGGCAGAAUAACUCCUGCAAGCUCAGCUUAGCAUAUGUGGAAGUGCCAGGGGAGGGGGCACAGCUAGCUUCCUCCGGCUCUACAGCGGUUGGGAGACAGAGGAGGGCUUCUGUGCCAGUGCUCCAAGGAGGCCAUGACAGUGGCAGGACGUGCCUGAGGACGUCUUUGGGAUGGGAAUGAGGGUCUGUGUGGCAGGGGCUUGCAGGGCUGACCUUUCAGAAGCAGAGAGAACAGCGGUGGUGGACACCGGUGCAGGGAGGACCACCCACCUUCAGUCCGCAGAAUUUAGCUCAGGGCCAGGAAAGUAGGUGUGGGGACUCGGAACUUUGAUUUCUACCACUUCAGGGGCAGGAUCCUUGCAGAAAUCGACUCAUGGAAAAGUAGCGGGACAUUUCUUACCCACUUGAGGUUGUGGAUUAAGACUGAUAUAAUAUGCAAAGAAAACCAUAAGUAAAUACCUCCUAAUAAUGAUCUCUGCAUGGUAGGAUUAAGGGCAAUUUUCUUUUUCUCCUUUUUGAGUGCUGAGGUUUUUGAAAAUUUUUCCAGUGACCAUGUUUGCUUAUUUAAAUGAGAAUAAUAAUGUUUUAAAAACUGUAAUUUGCUUUUUUAUCUCUCUCCCCUCUCUGGGGUCCUCGUUCCUUAAGUGCCUCAUCCGUCACGCUUCCUUCAGCCCCUCUGAGCCUCCUCCCUGCCCCAACCUGGCAGGCACUGGCUGAAGGUGGGGCUGGAGCCCAGGAAGGUAGCGGCCCUAGUCAGGAGUCCUGGAGUCAUGAUGACACCGACAACACCGUCACCAAGGACACUUUCCUGUCCUCUCUGCACCCACUUGAGAGGACAGCCAGGGUGGAAGAGAUACUCUUAUCAUUUUUGGCGUUGGGGAGAUUGUCUCUCCUCCCCCCCAGGUAGGAGGGUGUAGGCUGGGCUCUGCUGAGCCAGAGGGUGAGUGGGCUGGGCCUUUCCACUGUCCAGACUCCCAAAUGACACCCUUUCCCAGAAUCUGCUGCUCGGGCCCCUCAGAGCCCUUGCUCGAGAAGGCCCAUGUGGGCCAGUCAGGCCAUUUGGAGAGAAAGGGAGAAGAUGCCAAGCCAGUGGGCCCCUUUAAGGCAUCCCUGCCUGGGAGGGGGGCCGGGAUGAAAAUAGAGCGGUGGCCGGAGCAGGGCUUAGUGAGCUGGAGGGAGAAACGUGCUGAUUAUUAAAGACCGAAUUACCUGGGUCUAAUUACAAACACACUUAAGCAGCACAUUUCUUCCUGAUACACAACAGAAGUGGCUCAGAUUCUAUCACAAAGAGUCGGAAAGGGUGAUAAAAAUAAAAAACGGAUCUCAGCCGUGUGUCUUUCCCCGCUCUCCCUCCCUCCCCCAAUUAGUUGUGGUGGGAAGAGAAGUGGACCUCCCCCCGCCCCCCAACCAACUUGCUCAGCCUGGUGGGAGCUUGGAGCGUUCUCCCUGCCAUUUCUGUUGGCAGAACCCGCCUGCAUGGGGAUGGAGGAGAUGGAGGGAUGAGGGGUCCCUCCCAGGACAUCCAGGAAGCUUGCUGUCCUCACUGGGGCAGGUUGUCUGCUCAGGGAUCUGCUCUCUGACUCCAGGUGAGCCCUAAGGUCGCAGGACAGAGGCAUCUCUCUGCCUGUGCCCCCGUGCAGGCAUGACAUUUCCUCACCUCCAAGAAACAGGACACCAAAUCCAAACAAGGCCAUCCCUGGAGAAUGUUAUUACCCAGCCCCUGUUAGUGUUUCCAGUCCCUUUACUGUGUUUUCACUUCAUAAUGAUGCUGUUUGAUAAUGGUUAUGCAACAUAGGAUAGAGUGGGGUUGAACUGCCCAUCCCUACUUUUUUUCUUAGUGCCUCCAAUUCUUUAUGCCCCAUCUUUUCUACAUGUCCAAAUGUUACACAUCCUUCCAAAACUUCACCUUGGUGAAGACAAGAGAGCUAGCAAGAGCGCUAGACCAUGAGUGCCCAUCAGUCAAGCAACUUGAUAACUAUACUGUUUGGCAACGGGGCUUCUGUAGCAAUGGUGUCCAAAUACAGUCGACCCUCAGGAGCAUCUUAAAAUAUAGAUUCCUAGGCUCACUCCCUGUCUGGCAAUCUACAGUAUCAGCAAGUGUCCCCAGGGAUUCUGAGGCAGGGAGUCCUAGGACUGCACUGAGAAAUGCCCUGAAAGACUUGUCCCUCCUGCCCCAGGCUGCCUCCCAGGACAGGGCUUCUACACAUGUUGUCCAGCCGAAGGGCACCCCUCCCAUUCAUCUGUGUUCAUGGGCACCCACCCUGCACCCAGUCCCGUUCACCAGGCUCAGGGGCCCCGGGGGUUGAACUUCCACUCAAUGGGACCGUUGCAUCGCAUAAGCUCUUUUCUAUGCAAAGAGGAUAACAAAUCCUGCCCUGCCCACCUGGCUGGGUUGUUGUUUGAAUUAAGUGAGAUAAGGGAUGUGAAAGUGCUCUGAGAGCUGUAAGGCUGGGAAUCGAAGGGAAGGUUAUCUGUGCCCGCUAGGCAACGAUUCACUGACUGUCUUGUGACGUCGCCUCUGUACUGUCCACCACGCUUAUUAAAAAUCUCACAAAUCUACUUAACCACUCCCAGCCGAGGGCUUGGCUUCGCUGACUGGCUGCAUUCAGCUUGUUCAGCAAAGCCUGCCUCCUUCCACAAGAUGGCCAGAGCGGUGUUGUUGGUUUCUGUUGGUGGACAGAAACAGGAUUUCUUCCCAGGUGGAGCAAAGCUGACCUGGGUAGAUGGGAGCCCACACUGUGGCUUCAUUAACACUUGCUGACUUGUGUUCUUGGGCUGUUGAUUGAGGCCCCAGGAGUAAGUCAUUCCCUUGGGGUGAAUGGGUAAGAUGCCUCUCCUCUGGUGGGGGGACCGUGCUUUGGUUCCUUUGUUUGAGUUAUCUACCGCUUGGGUGAGACGCCACCUCCAAACUUAGUCUUAAAACAACACUCUAUUGUUUCCCGUGAUUCCGUGGUUGACAGGCUUCAGCUGGGCGGUUCUGCUCCCCGCGGCUGACCCGCUGCCGAGCCUACUCUCAGUUGGGAGCUUGGCUCCACUGGAAAGGACCAGAGGCUUCUCACCCUCCCAGGUUUCUCUCCACGGCGUCUGCACAGUGAGUUGUGCAGCCGAGCUUCUCCACGACGUAGCAGCCGCCUACCACGAGGACGAGCCCCUGCUUACGGAGCCGCUGCUGGUGCUCAGCCGGACCCCCCGAGUCACAGGACCAAGCCUAGCGUCCACGUGGGAGGGGAAGAAGCAAAGGCAGGCGGCCGCAGAGGCAUGCGUCCUGGGGGCCCCUGAUGUGCUAAUUCCCCACAAACUCACUUUCUUUCUUGGGAAGUCACCCCCGUACAUCAUAGAAGAGUGCAGCAGCCAGGCUUGUGUUUACCUGCUCUCUUUCCACUGGCGCCAGUGUUGCUGGGCUUGGAGGCCUGGGGUGUGACUUGGGGAAGUUCCAGAGACCCCCGCUCCUAUGCUCUGUGCCAACGGUGGCUUCUGUCCCUGGGCGACCACAGCCUGUACAGAGGAGACUCAGAGGCCUGACAGGUAAGCAGUUUCUCUGUUACUUUCUGCAGUAGCACAGCUGCACACGCAUGCUGCCUCUUGCAUGUCAGUUCUGGUCUUCUCUUUCGGGGGUGGCCUCCGCAGAGGCCUGUGGGAGCCCCUGCACAGGCUCCAUGAAGAUGGUGCCACAGACCUUGUCACUCUUCAUGUUUGCUUGGGUUGCCUCAGGUCUCUGCCGCCAGGGGACCCGUGUGACAGUGUGUGGGGGGCCCUGCCUCCUCUGGCUGGAGAGUGCUGGGAGCCAGAUCUCAUUCUCACCUCCAAACCCCUCUCCUCACGUCUCUGACCAAGUGGUGGGCGCCGGGGGUGACGAGCGGGGUCUUGGUGUGGCCUCGGGUCUCUUCAGAGCUGCGGGCACCUGGCCCAGGACCCUGUGGGUAGAUGUGCACCUGGGCUGUGGGAGUGACAGUUCCUUUGGUUUCCUCACACAUCUGGGCUUUUGUCUCAAACCUUCGGCUCCGUUUUCUGGAAGAGGUCCCUUCUGUUUCACCUCAGGCUGAAUCUUUCAUGUAAUAUGUAUGUAUGCAGGGAGAGGACAGACUGGAGGGUCUUUAAGAAUCAGCAAAAUGGUAUUUCUACCCUUUGGGAGAAAAAUUGAGGAUGUGUCCAGAGUGACUAGAAUACUGAUCUGUACCAGCCUCUCGCUGCAGCCUCAGCACAAUGGGAAUCACUCACCUCUGAGUCGCUGCCAUUCACCUGGAGGCUCGGAAGUCCCAGGGCGCGGGAACACAUCCGUGUGUCUUUGGAGAGGGACAUCAUGAGACACUCUGGCCCCCCAGCCCCAUGGCCUUUGCUGAGGCUCAGAAUACACAUUCUGUUCAUGCUUCUUGUGACAGACAGUGAUGAUGCUGUGAGCAUCUUUACGUGAAGACGUGUCUGAAAAAGCAGCUAUGCUCUCAGAACAUUCACCUUCAUCCGGGCUCCACAGGCCUUGGGGGCUUCUAAUUUAGUUUUGCAGGCUGGGGAGCCACCAGAGGCUGUGGUUUGCGGGGAUGUUUGUCUUGUGAUUGAUUGGAGCUGAGAGUGAAACCCUGGGGCUCUGUUCUGUUGUACCCUUGAAGGGAUCAGGAGUUGCUUCCUCCCUCGAGGAGACUGACCCAGCUCCGGUCUGGGGUGGUCACUGCUCCCCCAGCACCACCAGUCUGAAAACCCUAUGAGUCACUGGUACAGCUGCUGGGAUUCAUGCUACUCUCAACGAUCUAAGCUCACCGAUAGCAGCACAAGUCCCCCAAAUCCAGUAUUGAGUUGUAUCGUUACUUAUGUAACCUGAAUAGUCCACUUCACCAGCCUGCACCUGCAAGUAAGGCUACAUUUCCUCCUUAGAGCAGGAACCUCGUCAGCCAGAAAUUGGUUAUCCUCAAACUCUUUGCUGGUUGUUUUGGGGGUUUCUGAGUGGUUAGCCCCCCAAACAAGGGUGAUAACUGUAGUCACUAUGCCCGCUGCCUCGUCCCGCUUUCUGCUUUGGCCCCCCUUGGUCUCCCCACUACUAACUGCCAGCAAAGCUGUUGAGAGGUGCCUCACUGGGGCCACUGUCCAUCACAGAAGUGCCCAGGGUGCCAGUUCUGGAUCCUCUCCCGGUCCUGAGCUGCACCCAUCACCUGGGCCCCAGAGCAGCCAGUAUGUCCAGCGUCUUGUGGAUUCACUCUUGAACAGUUUAACCAGACUGAUACCAUCACCCACCGUGUCUUCUUUAGAGUCUCAAGAAGAAUAACCCUGACAGUUUCUGGCCCUUGCUCCUCUAACUACAGAAAUGCAAAACAGCCCCAGGGGGAGGAUGGGGCAAAUAAGUCCUGGAGUCAUUUGUGUUCAUCAGGAUUCUGAGGAUGUAAAUGACAUCCAGAAACCCAGUGGAAACUAGCAUCAACAAACAUGAGACUUUAUCUGGCAGCAAAGCUGAGAAGGCUUCUGGAACAGUUCCUCAGAUGUAGGAAGAGCUUCAGGAAGAAGGGUAUCAGGGGUGAGAAUGUGGCACAGCUCCCCUCUCCACCUUUCCUCUCUUCCCUCUCCCUCUUUUUUUCUCCUCUCCCCACUCCCCUCCAACCUUUACUUCUUCCCUCUCCUUAAUUUCUCAUCUGUGACCUCAUUUGCAGACAGCCUGUCUGUGUGGCAGGGAGGGGUCUACUGGUGUCCCAGAUUCACAUUCCCCUGUGCAGCAACCCUACUGGAAAAAAAGAUCUCUCUUUCUCAGUGUGUGCAUAGAUAUCUCAGGGCAGGCAUGUGAUCACCCGGCUUGGGGCUGUGUUGGUUUCAGGGGCAUGGGGUACUCUGGUAGGUUGUGUUGCGGUUGGGGUGAGAUCUGUUUCCAGCCAAAGAGGGGUCACAGCCACUACAAAGCCUGCACGCUCGUGCCCUCCCCCACUCCACUCCUGCCUGCCCUGCCUUCAUCUGCUUUAUCCACGAGCACACAGGGCCCUGGAGGUGGUUGGGUGGAAGCGGCACAGUUAGCAGUGCUAUCUACCCUGUGAGUGUUGAGUCUGCACUCAGACACCUGAACGAGUCCUGGCGUGCUUUUAUUUGCAUAUACGAGGCCUUCUCUGGCCUUCUGCUUCCCCAGCGCACUGCUGGGACGGCAGGCCGCUGGCCUGGGAGCGUGUGGGGUCAGUGCCACGGGACCCACGGCCUCGUCUGUCAGUGGGCACAGCUGAUGGGCUCGUUGGGCCCAGUUAUUCCUGAUGCAGACACUCUGAGGACGUGGAAUCCGUACUUUUUAAUCGUACUGUAAUGAGAGUGCCCUCCACGCCUGUCCCGCUUGCUCCGGGGAGCCCCAUCCUUCCCCCUCCUGCUCCUGCCUCCCUGGAUGCCUACGGAGGGCGGCUGGGUGAGGACCUGGUCUUCCAGCUGUGGUCCCAACUCUAUGGCCCUGAGCACUGUUCCUCCACAGGCAGGGCCAGGCUGCCUUGGCCUCUCAGCUCUCAGGCCCUCCCCUCCAUCCCUCUCCUGCCCCCUCUGAGGGAAGCAGGGCUGGGUAGGGGAGAGCCCUAGCUCCUCAAACACCGCUUCUCUCAAACGUUUUGAUUCUUUCCUCAAUCCUCUCUCUUCUUUAAAGACUCAGGCCUUUGGGAACCUAAGAUCUAGACACCUUUCUUUUUUCCCUGCGUCUCUGUCAUUUUUUCCCUGAGGUAAAGGGCCUGGGACAUCCCUGUGGCUUGACCGGUGGGAAAGCAGAGGGAGAAACCCGGCUCCUUUACCUAGGAAGAGCCAGCCAGGCGGCCUCUGCUUCGAGGCUGGGGAACCUCGGAAGCUUGCUGUGUCUGCAGAGAGGGCGGAAGGGGGUUUGCUGCCUGGUUAACCAGCCUGGGUUGAUUGAGGUCCGCGUGCUUCUCCUGGAGUCCCUUCUCGCUAGUAGAUCACCCUUCAAGGGGUAAGAGGAAGGGAUGGGAUAAACAUAGAAUGGGGCGUGGCCUGCCUGCCACAGCGGGAUCAAAACUCCUAAUUCCUGUCAGCCCCCCAGAGCCUCAGGCUCUACCCUUUACAGAAGCAUUAAUGAGUGCUUUCAGGAGCGACAGGCCGUGAGGCUGCUUAUUUUUAACCAGACAACGGAGGCUGAGCUCCUGAGUGGGACAAGGUGUCUCAGUCUCCCUGAGGCAAGCAGACCUGGAGGUGUCUGUCCCGGGCUUCCCAGGCCUGCAGCCGCUGGGAGGAACAUUUGCAGAGUCGCACCCAGGUUAGGGAAUCUCCUUCGGCCUGGGCUGCUUUGACCAGUGUUUUGUCUCCUGGGCCUCCUUGGGACGGAGGGAGGUGCUCUGUGAUGGGCAGAGGAGGCCGGCUGUGCUUUCUCAAGUGUGUGAGCUCUCCUGCUUCAGAAAUAGCUCUGGGUACUAAUUGGGGGUUUUUGCCCAGGAAGUGUUACUAGGAUCUGUCAGGUCCUACUAGGAACCAUCGGAAGGUGACAAGUCGCUGGAGACCUUGACACUUAACCACUGGUUACCCAGAAACCUGGACAGGGCCGCCUCUCCGGAGCCCCACAGCACUGGGAGACAGGUUACAAGCAUACACUAAAGUUACAGACUAAAUAAUGACUGUUGUGUAGAGGGCUGCGAGGGGACAGAUCGGGUGCUUUGGGAAGUGUGAGUCUGGGGGGGGCCUGGGCCCUUUCUCCUCCCCCUCUCUGUACUUGUGCCUUUCCCAGACUCCGUUCCUCUGUCUCCUGCUUCGUCUCUCCAAGAACUGCUUCUCCUGCCUGGCUAAUUCCACAGGAGCCAAGGAAAUGGGGGAAAGUAAGGGAGGUUGUCAGUGCCUGGAAAACCACUAAGCCCCUGCCUCCGGCUCCAGGCUGCCAGCUCUGCCAGCCCUCGGUCCCAAGGCCUCUCCAGCAGCUUUCCAUGAAAGAGACGUCCCUCCCCGCCUCCACCACCCUCUGGCAGCCAUGAAUCCGUUCCUGGACUACCGUCACCCCCCCUAGAUGUGGCAGCCAGGGCCUAACGGGCGCUGCUAGUUUUCGUUCCCAGUUUUCAGUUACUUAGUGGGACUUGUUUUCCUUUAUCUCCUUAAGGGGCAAAUUGGAGACUUGGGUUUGAUAGGAAAAGAUCACCCCAGGACUUGAAAAAUAGGGUUGCCAGCUGCCUCUGGUAGAAAAGGCAGAUAGGGAAAUUGAAUAAUGCAUCUUAGAAAUGUUUAUUAGCAUUCUGAUGAUGAUAAGUGAGGGAUCGGAAAGGAAAUCUUCCACAAGUGUUGGCCAUUUGUCCCCUGGUCAGGGAGGCUGGUGUGCUUUGUGGGAAGAGUAGUUGAUGUAUCCCCCACUGGACACAUAUGUGUCUCAUCCCCGAUACUUAGCAAGGGACCCGGGAGAUUCUGCUGAAGGGAUUCAGUCAUCAUCUGCAGGCUUUUGGGGGUGGUGGUGGUGGAGCCUGGAUGAGCCUUUGAGAAAAGCUGCAGGUAUUCUCUCCAUAACAACGCACCCUCACAAAGACAAGCUCACAAUUUGAUGGGCACUUCAGGAUUCGCAGGUUCUUUGAAAUCCAUCCAUGGACCCUCACAUAGACCCCAGGUGAAAAACUCCUGGACCAGAGCUUACAUCUGUAAGGCCCCCUGCACAUACAUGUGCCCCCGAUCCCUGUCGGACGCCUCUGCUACCUUCUUGCUGAGCACUGGGUACUGGUGCCAGGAAGGCCUGGGUUGGAGUCCCAUUUCAGGGCAACUUCUCCAGUCACCCAUCUUGGCUGCCAAGGCCCAACAAAUGUGGGCUUUUCUCCCCCUAGAAAUGGGGAAGAUUUGGCAACACUGGGCCUGCAUUCCUUAUGGCAACAAUUAGCUGGGCUUGGUGUCUGUGCCUGCUUUAGGUAGGGCAUGGCUGUCUGGGUUGUCAUGGCCUCUUCCCGCCACCUCAAUGCUGGGACCAAUUCAGUUCUGUUUAUCACCCCAGUUGAUCUGCACUUUUCUUAGAGCAGAGUUAAGCAAACAGUUUUAUCUCUGAAGAUAUACUGCAUAUCACAAAACACAAGUCUCCUCAUACGUAUGCAUAUAGAAAACACUCAUAUAUGCACAUGUACACGCACAUACCUGUUUGGCCCACCCAGGUUGUCUGCAAGGCAUCUGAAUUUGUGACCUGAUCCUCUUCCUCCUCAUAGGGUUGCUGUGAGGGUUCAGUGGACUGAUGCAUGCAGAGCCCUCAGCACAGUGCCUGGUACACAGCAGGUGCUCACUCAGCACAUCCAGCUGGUGUUACUAAGCAGCAGAUGCCCAAGGCCACCUCCAGAGAGGACGCAGGACAACAGGAGGGCAGCGCAUCCACAGAGGCUUCCCAGGCUAUUAUGAGGUGGUCUUUGUUUAAGUUCUUUCCAAACUUCUCGCUGAGCUGUUGGAUGAGGUCUGCCAGCUCGCCGGUAGCUUGAGAUUUCUCUUCAAGAAGCUCAUAGCGCAGGCUGGAGAUAUCUUGCUUGAUUUCCUUCAGUUCGCCUGCAAGGACAGAUGAGAUUUUGGUGAGAUGAGCCUGCUGAAGGAGCUCAGCCCAUAGGCAUUUGGGGCGUGCAUCCUUCCCACAGAAUGUCAGGCUACUGGUCCAGCCCACCAAGGGUGGAGGGAGGAGAAGCUCCCAAGCGUCUGAGGGGAUCAGCUCAGCACAGUGGCUGCGGCUGUGGAGCCAGGCCUCCUCACAGGGGCAGAGUCUGUCCGCACCACGCAAGCAGCAUCCCUCACCGGUGCACCACGCUUAAUACAUUGCCUGAUGUUCAACCUUCAGUCAUUCAGCAAACCUCCUAAUGUGUGCCCACCUAGCGCUCACCUACUGUGUGCCUGGCCUGUGCGAGAUCAAGAGAUGGGACUUCCCUGGUGGCACAGUGGUCAAGAAUCCAC